AGAGUUUGAUCCUGGCUCAGGAUGAACGCUGGCGGCGUGCUUAACACAUGCAAGUCGAACGAAGCACUCUAUUUGAUUUUCUUCGGAAAUGAAGAUUUUGUGACUGAGUGGCGGACGGGUGAGUAACGCGUGGGUAACCUGCCUCAUACAGGGGGAUAACAGUUGGAAACGACUGCUAAUACCGCAUAAGCGCACAGGAUCGCAUGAUCCGGUGUGAAAAACUCCGGUGGUAUGGGAUGGACCCGCGUCUGAUUAGCCAGUUGGCAGGGUAACGGGCUACCAAAGCGACGAUCAGUAGCCGACCUGAGAGGGUGACCGGCCACAUUGGGACUGAGACACGGCCCAAACUCCUACGGGAGGCAGCAGUGGGGAAUAUUGCACAAUGGGGGAAACCCUGAUGCAGCGACGCCGCGUGAGCGAAGAAGUAUUUCGGUAUGUAAAGCUCUAUCAGCAGGGAAGAAGAAUGACGGUACCUGACUAAGAAGCACCGGCUAAAUACGUGCCAGCAGCCGCGGU
rnacentral:rRNA from 1 species